GUUGUAUGGUUAAGUGACUAAGCGCACAAGGUGGAUGCCUUGGCAAUCAGAGGCGAAGAAGGACGUGCUAAUCUGCGAAAAGCUUGGAUGAGUUGAUAAGAAGCGUUUAAUCCAAGAUAUCCGAAUGGGGAAACCCAGUGGGUGAAGAACCCACUAUCCUUAUCUGAAUUCAUAGGAUAAGGAGGCAAACCGGGAGAACUGAAACAUCUAAGUACCCCGAGGAAAAGAAAUCAACCGAGAUUUUGUGAGUAGCGGCGAGCGAAAGCGAAAGAGCCUGUGAGUGAUAGCGACAGAGACAGAGGAAUGUGUUGGGAAGCACAGCGAUACAGGGUGAUAGCCCCGUACUUGAAGUCCGUGUUGUGGUACUAAGCUAACGAAAAGUAGGGCGGGACACGAGAAAUCCUGUUUGAAGAAGGGGGGACCAUCCUCCAAGGCUAAAUACUCCUGAUUGACCGAUAGUGAACCAGUACUGUGAAGGAAAGGCGAAAAGAACCCCGGCGAGGGGAGUGAAAUAGAACCUGAAACCUUGUGCGUACAAGCAGUGGGAGCCCGUAAGGGUGACUGCGUACCUUUUGUAUAAUGGGUCAGCGACUUAUAUUUUGUAGCGAGGUUAACUGAAUAAGGGAGCCGAAGGGAAACCGAGUCUUAACUGGGCGGAUAGUUGCAAGGUAUAGACCCGAAACCCGGUGAUCUAGCCAUGGGCAGGUUGAAGGUUGGGUAACACUAACUGGAGGACCGAACCGACUAAUGUUGAAAAAUUAGCGGAUGACUUGUGGCUGGGGGUGAAAGGCCAAUCAAACCGGGAGAUAGCUGGUUCUCCCCGAAAUCUAUUUAGGUAGAGCCUUGAGCGGACACCUUCGGGGGUAGAGCACUGUUUCGGCUAGGGGGCCAUCCCGGCUUACCAACCCGAUGCAAACUGCGAAUACCGAAGAGUGAUACUCAGGAGACACACGGCGGGUGCUAACGUCCGUCGUGGAGAGGGAAACAACCCAGACCGCCAGCUAAGGUCCCAAAGUCUAAAUUAAGUGGGAAACGAAGUGGGAAGGCUUAGACAGCUAGGAUGUUGGCUUAGAAGCAGCCACCAUUUAAAGAAAGCGUAAUAGCUCACUAGUCGAGUCGGCCUGCGCGGAAGAUGUAACGGGGCUCAAAUAUAGCACCGAAGCUGCGGCAUCAGUAGAAAUACUGUUGGGUAGGGGAGCGUUGUGUAAGCGGAUGAAGGUGAAUCGAGAGGUUUGCUGGACGUAUCACAAGUGCGAAUGCUGACAUAAGUAACGAUAAAACGAGUGAAAAACUCGUUCGCCGGAAGACCAAGGGUUCCUGUCCAACGUUAAUCGGGGCAGGGUGAGUCGGCCCCUAAGGCGAGGCUGAAAAGCGUAGUCGAUGGGAAACGGGUUAAUAUUCCCGUACUUGUAAUAGAUGCGAUGUGGGGACGGAGAAGGUUAGGUAAGCAGACUGUUGGAUGUCUGUUUAAGCCGGUAGGUGGGUGUUUUAGGCAAAUCCGAAACACCUUAACACCGAGAAGUGAUGACGAGUCUCUAAGGAGAUGAAGUUACCGAUACCACGCUUCCAGGAAAAGCCACUAAGCUUCAGUCUAUUAUAAACCGUACUGAAAACCGACACAGGUGGUCAGGUAGAGAAUACUCAGGCGCUUGAGAGAACUCGGGUGAAGGAACUAGGCAAAAUAGCACCGUAACUUCGGGAGAAGGUGCGCUUACCGUAAUUGUAGUCCCUUGCGGACGAAGGUGAAGUAAGUCGAAGAUACCAGCUGGCUGCAACUGUUUAUUAAAAACACAGCACUCUGCAAACACGAAAGUGGACGUAUAGGGUGUGAUGCCUGCCCGGUGCUGGAAGGUUAAUUGAUGGUGUUAUCGCAAGAGAAGCACCUGAUCGAAGCCCCAGUAAACGGCGGCCGUAACUAUAACGGUCCUAAGGUAGCGAAAUUCCUUGUCGGGUAAGUUCCGACCUGCACGAAUGGCAUAAUGAUGGCCAGGCUGUCUCCACCCGAGACUCAGUGAAAUUGAAAUCGCCGUGAAGAUGCGGUGUACCCGCGGCUAGACGGAAAGACCCCGUGAACCUUUACUAUAGCUUGACACUGAACAUUGAAUUUUGAUGUGUAGGAUAGGUGGGAGGCAGUGAAGCAGUGACGCCAGUCAUUGUGGAGCCAUUGUUGAAAUACCACCCUUUAACGUUUGAUGUUCUAACGAAGAUUACGGAACGUGGUCUCGGACAGUGUCUGGUGGGUAGUUUGACUGGGGCGGUCUCCUCCCAAAGAGUAACGGAGGAGCACGAAGGUUUGCUAAUGACGGUCGGACAUCGUCAGGUUAGUGCAAUGGUAUAAGCAAGCUUAACUGCGAGACGGACAAGUCGAGCAGGUGCGAAAGCAGGUCAUAGUGAUCCGGUGGUUCUGAAUGGAAGGGCCAUCGCUCAACGGAUAAAAGGUACUCCGGGGAUAACAGGCUGAUACCGCCCAAGAGUUCAUAUCGACGGCGGUGUUUGGCACCUCGAUGUCGGCUCAUCACAUCCUGGGGCUGAAGUAGGUCCCAAGGGUAUGGCUGUUCGCCAUUUAAAGUGGUACGCGAGCUGGGUUUAGAACGUCGUGAGACAGUUCGGUCCCUAUCUGCCGUGGGCGUUGGAUGAUUGGUUGGGGCUGCUCCUAGUACGAGAGGACCGGAGUGGACGCACCGCUGGUGUUCCGGUUGUGUCGCCAGACGCAUUGCCGGGUAGCUAAGUGCGGAAGAGAUAAGUGCUGAAAGCAUCUAAGCACGAAACUUGCCAAGAGAUGAGUCAUCCCUGACUUUAAGUCAGUAAGGGUUGUUUAAGACUACGACGUAGAUAGGUGCGGUGUGUAAGUGUAGUGAUACAUUGAGCUAACGCAUACUAAUUGCCCGAGAGGCUUAACCAUACAACCUCA
rnacentral:rRNA from 1 species